rfam:Heligmosomoides polygyrus genome assembly, scaffold: HPBE_contig0001029
GCGCUAGUGGUGUAAUGGCGUAUAGCAUUCCCAAACGGUCAGAGGGAGGUGCGGGUUCGAGUCCCGCCUGGCGCU